CCCCAACUCCCAUCCACACCACUAGAACCCAAACACGCUCCAACAACAUCAAACAUGAAAUGAUGGCCCAGAAGUACUUACGAAGCUGAGGUAAUUGCAGCCCAUACCCUACAAUCACAACAAAAUACUCAACAAGAAUACUAUCCACAUCAAACUUCAAUCGAGCCACCAAAAUUUGUUCCGGUGAAACUAAAUAGAAGUUAAUGAGGGUGAUAAUGAAGGAAACCCUAGAGGAGUGCCCACUGGGGAAAGACCAGUGGUCAACAGCGAAAGAGAAGAACAUGUUCUCGCAAUAAAUUGGGCGAGGGUGUUGGAUGAGAUGUUUGAGAAGGCCAAUGAAUAAAAGUGAGAGAAUGAUGGGGAAAAAGAGAGAGCCAUUGUUGGAGAACUUGAGGAAUUUAAUGACCGAGAAGGGUAAGAUAGGAUAAGAUAGGAAUUUGAGGGCCAAGAACUUGAGGAAUUUGGGGAAAAAUAAGGUGUAGAGAUGGAGGGAGAUUCCUGUGUCUAGGUUUAUUAGGUGGCUGAUUAGGGUUCGAGAGGGUGGUUGUGGUUGUUUAGUUACCAUGAUUUUUUAUAUUUUUCGGUGAACUUCAAUUCAGUUUAGGUGGUCGGCGGUUGUCAUUCUUGUUUGUGGUUUUGGGGCAAGGUACAGUCGGUGAGGGGCG
rnacentral:lncRNA from 1 species